rnacentral:rRNA from 1 species
AACGAACGCUGGCUGCAUGCCUAACACAUGCAAGUCGAACGAGAUCUUCGGGUCUAGUGGCGCACGGGUGCGUAACGCGUGGGAAUCUGCCCUUUGGUUCGGAAUAACAGUUGGAAACGACUGCUAGUACCGGAUGAUGACGAAAGUCCAAAGAUUUAUCGCCAGAGGAUGAGCCCGCGUAGGAUUAGCUAGUUGGUGUGGUAAAGGCGCACCAAGGCGACGAUCCUUAGCUGGUUUGAGAGGAUGAUCAGCUACACUGGGACUGAGACACGGCCCAGACGGCUACGAGAGGCAGCAGUGGGAAAUAUUGGACAAUGGGCAAAAGCCUGAUCCAGCAUUGCCGCGUGAGUGAUGAAGGCCUUAGGGAUGUAAAGCUCUUUUACCCGGGGUGAUGAUGCCAGUACCGGUAGAAUAAGCGCCGGAUAUCUCCGAGCCAGCCGCCGCCGUAA